UAACCCGACGAAGGGGAGGCACGCGUACACGGUAGGUCAGCGACUGGGGUG
rnacentral:rRNA from 1 species